ensembl:lncRNA
AUGCCAUUUUUUGAUCAAAGAACACUGAAGGUAAAUGCCCUCAGUGCUAUCAUUCUUGCCGUUGCUGAAAAAAUGCUGGAAGAAGACUUUGUGUGUUCUUGCAAUGAGGAUUACAGAAAUGUUGAAGUCUUUUUACAUUUUUUGAUUCCUAUUCUUUUCUGCUUGGUUGUGCUUCUUCAACUGUUAGCUGAAUAUGAGCAACAAAGCUACAUGGUGAUCAAGACCUUCUUAUUUUCAGCUUUUCUGUGGAUUGUAUUACUUCUUAUUGAUGGUAGAUAUGUUGCAUGUGCCGUAUUUUCACCACAUGCUCCAUGUAACAACACAAUAGAUGUGAAAGAACUUCAAUCCACUUCAGAAUUUUUUCUAUCUAAGCUUGUAGGUUUUUUGCUGUUAUAUUCUGUGCUGCUACUAGCCUUCCUUGUAACAGCUGUUGGACACGUGAAAAAAUGGUGCAACCAGAGGAACAAUGCAAAUACAGCAUUAUACAACAGUAUAAAUCCUGAAAGCACGGGGCAACAGGAAUAAUCCAGAGUAUGGACAGUACCUGAACAAAACAACCAGAAAACCCCGAUUGAAAAAGGCUGUUAAAACCAGAUCAGUUACAGUGUAUGAAAAGUGUUACCUGUAAUAUAGCCUACAGAGAGUAAAAUUAAACACCAUUGAUUUUCAUUGCUUAUGUAUUUGUUGUACUCUAAAAUGAUUUCUUAUAAUUUCAUCAUAAACAGCUGUAUGAAUACAUUGAUGUUGUCUUAAAUUUAUGCAAAUUCAAUUAUACUAUGUGACCAUAUAUUAGAACGGAAACCAUGUUGUAAAUGCUGGGCUGACAUUUUAAGGCAAAUUUUUGUUUCACUUUUUUGCGAUUUAAUUAUUAUUUAUUUUUUUUAUUUUUUUGUAGAAUCAAUUUUAGAAUCUAACAGCUGUCUAACAGUUACCUAACUGCUUUUCUGAUUUCAAAUUCUGCAUCUGUAAAAACAAUAAAACUACUGACUGCUGAUAAAUAAUCUGGUUA